GCCGGGAUGGCGGAAUUGGUAGACGCAGCGGACUUAAAAUCCGCUUCCCACUUGUGGGAGUGCCGGUUCGAGUCCGGCUCCCGGCA
rnacentral:tRNA from 1 species